rnacentral:rRNA from 1 species
UACGGAGGGAGCUAGCGUUGUUCGGAAUUACUGGGCGUAAAGGGCGCGUAGGCGGCCUGUUAAGUCGAACGUGAAAUCCCCGGGCUCAACCCGGGAACUGCGUCCGAUACUGGCAGGCUUGAAUCCGGGAGAGGGAUGCGGAAUUCCAGGUGUAGCGGUGAAAUGCGUAGAUAUCUGGAGGAACACCGGUGGCGGAGGCGGCAUCCUGGACCGGUAUUGACGCUGAGGCGCGAAAGCCAGGGGAGCAAACGGG